rnacentral:lncRNA from 1 species
UUUUCGUUGCCAAUCCUUGGACUGUUGAUAUCUUGAAAGGGGGACCCCAAGGAGGCUGGCUUAGGGGACAGGAUGCUGGAAAAAGACACAGUCAAUUCCAGACUGGAUAUUUAUGCAAACCCAUCUGGGCUCAUAGAUAGGUUAUGCUGAAGAGAUAACUCACUGCAAAGCUUAGCCACACUAGAAAGACAAACUAUGUGAUCAGAAGAUUGGGGCUUUGGGAGUUCCCGUUGUGGUGCAGCGGAAAUGAAUCCAACUAGGAACCAUGAGAUUGCAGGUUUGAUCCCUGGCCUCACUCAGUGGGUUAAAGAUCUGGUGUUGCCCUGAGCUGUGGUGUAGGUCGCAGAUGUGGCUUGGCUCUAGUGUUGCUGUGGCUGUGGUGCACGUCAGCAGCUGUAGCUCCAAUUCGACCCCUAGCCUGGGAGUCUCCAUAUGCUGUGGAUACAGCCCUAAAGAGAAAGGAAAAAAUAAAUAAAUAAAAAGGUUGGGCUUUGAGCCAUAAGAUAAAAGCCAGAGCUCCAGAAACAGGUAGAAGGCAGGAGACUGAGUCAUCUAGGCACUGAUCCAAUCAGUUAUGGUUAUGAAAUGAAAUUCUUAAGCUGGCAAUACUGCACGCAUAUACUGCCAUACGUCAAUGCCAGGAGGCUAACUUGCCCUUGAGGACAUGGUAGCUCAUGUCUGGAAACCCUCCAAAAUCUGCUUGUGAAAAACAUCUGAUGCAAACCACUGGACAAAGACUUUACAACAACCAUUCUUUUAAGCCACCCCAUGGCACACGGAGUUCCUGGGCCAGGGAAUGGAUCUGGGCCACAGUUGCAACCUAAGCCACAGUUGCGACAAUGCCAGACCCAGAACCCACUGUGCUGGGCUGGGGAUCAAACCCGUGUCCCAGUGCUCCAAAGACAAUGCCAAUUCCAUUGUACCACAGUGGGAACUUCCCUUUUCUUCUUUUGGCCACACUUCACAACACGGGGAAGCUCCUGGGCCAGGGAUCAAAUCUGUGCCAUAGCAGCAACUUGACCACUGCAGUGACAAUGCUGGAUCCUUAACCCACUGUGCCACAAGGGAACUCCCUACAACAGUCAUCUUAAAUUAGUUCAAGCAACGAAAGGAAGACAUGGAGGAAGUCAAGAAAACUAAGUAUAAAUGAAAUGGAAAGAUCAAUACAAAGAUAUAAAACCUAAAAAGUAAAAAGGAAUUCAGGGGCAAAAAGUACAAUAACUAAAAAAGGUCACAGCAAGCAUGAAGCAACUUGUCAAAUACAAGGGGAGAAAAGAUUUCUCAUCAUAAACUUGGGAGUCCAGAAAGUAGUGGUGCAAUAUAUUCAAACAUAACACAAACAAAAAGUGUCAAGCAAGAAUCCUGUAUCUGGUAAAACUAUUCUUCAAGAACAAGGAUGAAAGUGCCCAUCGGAGCUCAGUGAAAGCGAUUCUGACUAGUGUCCAUGAGGACACAGGUUCGAUCCCUGGCCUCGCUCAGUGGGUUAAGGAUCCAUGUUGCCGUGAGCUGUGGUAUAGGUCGCAGAUGCGGCUCAGAUCCUGUGUUGCUUCGGCUGGUGUAGGUUGCGGACGUGGCUCAGAUCCUGUGUUGCUGUGGCUGUGGUGUAGGCUGGCAGCAACAGUUCCAAUUAGACCCCUAGCCCAGGAACCUCCAUGUGCCAUGGGUGCAGCCCUAAAAAGGACGAAAGACAAAAAAAAAAAAAAAAUUUACUAAAAUCAAAGAUGAGGGAGGUCCUUUGUGGCUGAGUAGGUUAAGGACUCAGCACUGUCACUGCAGCAGCUUGGGUUGCUGCUGUGGUGCAGAUCUAAUCCCUGGCCUGGGAACUUCAAAAUGCUGCAGCAAAAAAAAAAAAAAAAAAAAAAAAAAAAAAAAAAAACCAUGAAAGUAGGGGCAUUACUGUUCAUUCUACAGAAAUAACAAUAUUUCAUAAGGGAACACUAUGAAGAACUAUACCCCAACAAAUUGGAAAACCUAGAUGAAAUGGACAUAUUCCUAGAAACACAAACUGGAGCUCCCGUCGUGGCUCAGCAGUUAGUGAACCUGACUAGCAUCCAUGAGGAUGGAGGUCUGAUCUCUGGCCUCACUCAGUGGGUUAAGGAUUUGGCAUUGCCGUGAGCUGUGGUAUAGGUCACAGGUGCGGCUCUGAUCCUAAGUUGCUGUGGCAUAGGCCGGCGGUUACAGCUCCGAUUGGAUCCCUAGCCUGCGAACCUUCAUGUGCCAUGGGUGCAGUCCCCAAAAGACAAAUAUACUAAAAAAAAAAAAAAAAANAAAAAAAAAAAAAAAAAAAAAAGAAACACAAAACCUAUGAAGACUAAAUCACAGAGAAAUAUAAAAUUUGAAUAGACCUAUAACGAGAAAGACUGAAUUCAUAAUCAAAAUCCCCCAUUACAGAAAAAUCCUGGGGAGUUCCCAUUGUGGCACAGUGGUAAUGAACCCAACUAGUAACCAUGAGGAUGUAGGUUUAAUCCCUGGCCUCAAUCAAUCGGUUAGGUAUCCGGAAUUGCCAUGUGCUGUGGUGUACAUGCAGAUGUAUGUACAAUGAGACACCAACAUCCAAUGCUUUCACUGACAUGUGGAAUCUGAAAAAACGACAGACUGAACUUCUUUGCAGAACAGAUGCUGACUCACAGACAUUGAAAAACUUAUGGUCUCCGGAGGAGACAGUUUGGGGGGUGGGGGGAUGUGCUUGGGCUGUGGGAUGGGAAUCCUGUGAAACUGGAUUGUUAUGAUCAUUAUACAACUAGAUGUGAUCAAUUCAUUUGAGAAAUAAAAAAAAAAAAAGAAAAAAAAAGAAAUCUAUUUCUUGCCUAUCACUUUGUCUCUCGAUGAAGUCCUUUCGUGCAGAGGCAUAAAGAACCUGAACCUCAGUGACUCCAGACAUCGGAAAAUACUCUGAGCUCCAUGUCCUUGGAACGGUUUUGCAGGUGCUGAAGCCCCAGCAGGCAGAAGUCAACUGUGUGCUGCCCACAAGCAUGUAGACCCCAGACCAAUCAGAACCAGGAGUUUGAUGAUGCUGACUCCCAAUUACCUCAUCACCCACCAAUCAGGAAAAUGUUCAAGAGCUGAUCAUGCCCUGCUCCUCAAACACUAGAAGAUUCCUCACUACCCCCUCCAUUGGGGGCACAGUCCUUGGGGCACUAGCCUGCUGUGUUCCCCUCUUUGCCUGGCAAUUAAAGCUACUUUUCUACUUUCUCCAAAAAAAACAAACAAACAAAAACAAAAAACAAAAAACACCACAAACCAGGAAUGUAAGGAAACUACCCAAAUAAAAUAAAAGCCAUAUAAGGAGUUUCCAUCAUGGCGCAGCGGAAACGAAUCCAACUAGGAACCAUGAGGUUGUGGGUUCGAUCCCUGGUCUCACUCAGUGGGUUGGGGAUCUGGCGUUGCUGUAAGCUGUGGCGUAGGCUGGCAGCAACAGCUCCUAUUCCACCCCUAGCCUGGGAACGUCCAUAUGCCAUGGGUGUGAACCUAAAAAGACAAAAGACAAAAAUAAAUAAAUAAAUAAAAACCCAUAUAUAACAAAAAACCACAGCAAAGAGCAUACUCCAUAGUGAAAGUUGGAAAGCUUUUCCUCCAAGUUCGGGAAAGGUUAAGGGCAUCCAUUUUCACCACUUCUAUUCAACACAAUAGUCGAAGUUGUGGACAGAGCAACAGAAAGAAAUCAAAAAGCACCCACGUUGGAAAGGAAGAGGUAAAACUGUUUUUGCUUAGAGAUGAUAGUUUCUUGUAUGUAAAAACCAUAAAGAAACCACAAAAUAACUGUUAGAAUAAAUGAGUUCAUCAAAGUAGCAGGAUACGAGAUCAAUCAAUACACAAAAAUAAGCUGCAUUUAUAUACACGAACAAUGAACAAUUCAAAAAUGAAAUUAUAAUUCCAUUUACAGUAGCAUGAAAAACAAUAAAACACUUAGGAAGCGGCCCAAGAGAUAGCAACAACAACAACAAAAAGACAAAAAAAAAAAAAAAAACAAAAAAAACUGACUACAAAACUACAGUAAUUUUUUCUUUUUUUUUUUGGUCUUUUUGCCUUUUCUAGGGCUGCUCCCGUGGCAUAUGGAGGUUCCCAGGCUACGGGUCGAAUCGGAGCUGUAGCCACCGGCCUAUACCACAGCCACAGCAACGCAGGAUCCAAACUGCAUCUGCAGUCUACACCACAGCUCACGGCAAUGCUGGAUCCUUAACCCACUGAGCAAGGCCAGGGAUCGAACCCAAAACCUCAUGGGUCCUAGUUGGAUUUGUUAACCACUGCGCCAUGACGGGAACUCUGAAACUACAGUAAUCUAAAAUCAGAUAAAUAGAUCAAGGGAAUCAAGAGCCCGGUAACAUAAAACUCAACAGCAACAACACAAACAACCCAAUUGACAAAUGGGCAGAAGACCUAAAUGGACAUUUCUCCAAAAAAACAUACAGAUGGCCAACAGGCACAUGAAAAAAUGCUCCACAUCACUAAUUAUUAGAGAAAUGCAAAUCAAAACUCCAAUGAGGUAUCACCUCACCUUGGUCAGAAUGGCCUUCAUGAGCAAGUCUCAAAUAACAAAUACUGGAGGGGGUGUGGAGAAAAGGGACCCCUUCUGCACUGUUGGUAGGAAUGUAAAUUGGUACAACCACUAUCAAAAACAGUAUGGAGGUACCUCAGAAAACAAAAUUUAGAACUUUGUAUGAGCCAGCAAUCCCACUCCUGGGCAUCUAUCUGGACAAAACUCUAGUUCAAAAAGAUACAUAUAUCCCUAUGUUCAUUGCAGCACCAUUCACAAUGGCCGAGACAAGGAAGCAACUUAAACAUUGAUAGAUGAGUGGAUUAAGAAAAUGUGGCACAGGAGUUCCUGUUGCGGCACAGCAGAAACAAAUCCAGCUGGUAUCCAUGAGGAUGCUGGUUCAAUCCCUGGCCUCACUCAGUAGGCUGGGCAUCUGGUGUGGCUGUGGUAUAGGCCGGCAGCUGUACCUCCCAUUCAACCCCUAGACUGGGAACCUCCACAUGCUGCGGGUGCAGUCCUAAAAAGCAAAAAAAAGAAAAAAAAAAAAAGAUGUGAUACAUACAUACACUGGAAUACUAUUCAGCCAUAAUAAAGAAAAUGCUGGAGUUCCCAUCGUGGUGGAGUGGAAACGAAUCUGAAUAGGAACCAUGACGUUGAAGAUUCGAUCCUGGCCUCACUCAGUGGGUUAAGGAUUCGGCGUUGCUGUGAGCUGCAGCAUAGGUCACAGAUGUGGCUCGGAUCUGGCAUUGCUGUGGCUGUGGUGUAGGCCGGCAGCUGUAGCUCCAAUUAGACCCCUAGCUUGGGAACCUCCAUAUGCAGUGAGUGCGGCCCUAAAAGGCAGACACACAUGAAAAAGAAAAUGCCAUUUGCAGCAACAUGGAUGGAACUAGAGAUUCUCAAACUAAGUGAAGUCAGAAAGAGAAAAAAAUUAGCAUAUGGUUAUCACUUAUAUCUGGAAUCUAGUAUAUGGCACAAAUGAACCCAUCUACAGAACAGAAACAAACUCAUGGACAUGGAGAACAGACUUGUGGUUGCCAAGGGGUAAGGGGAGGGAGAGGGAUGGGCUGUGAGUUUGGGGUUAGUUGAUGCAAACUCUUGCCUUUGAAGUGGAUAAGCAAUGAGGUCCUGCUGCAUAGAACAGGGAACGAUAUCUAAUCUCUGGUAAUGGAACAUGAUGGAGGCUACUGUGAGAAAAAGACUGCAUAUAUAUGUGUGACCGGGUCACUCUGUUGUACAGUACAUUGUAAACCAACUGUAAUAAAAAAAAUUCUAACAAAAACCUAGUAACGAACCCUUACAUGUAUCAUCAAAUAAUUCUGACAAGGACGCCAAGACCAUCCAAUAGGGGAAACGACAGCAUUUACAAUAAACAGUGCUGGGAAAACUGAAUACCUAAAAGCAAAGGAAUUAAAUAGGACGCUUAUCUAAUAUCAUAAACAAACAUUAGCUCAAAAUGGAUCAAAGAUCUAAAACUACAAACUUCAAAGAAGAAAACAGAGGGCAAAAUCAGCAUGGCAGUGGAUGUGGCAAAGAUUUCUUAGGUAUGACACCAAAGGCACAGGCAACAAAAGAAAAAAACAGAAAAACUGUAAUUCAUAAAUAAAAAUUUGUGCAUCAAGGAGGUCUAUCAUGGCUCAAUGGUAUUGAACCUGACAAGUAUCCAUGAGGAUGCAGGUUCCAUCCCUGGCCGCGCUCAGUGGGUUAAGGAUCUGGCACUGCCACGAGCUACAGUGCAUGUCACAGACUCGGCUCAGAUCCUGCCUCGCUGCGGCUGUGGGGUAGGCUGGCAGCUACAGCUCCAAAUGGAGUCCUAGCCUGGGGAACUUCCACAUGCCGCAAGUGCAGCCCNAAAAAAAAAAAAAAAAAAAAAAAAAAAAAA